rnacentral:snoRNA from 1 species
CAGUUCUGAUGAUGAUGAUCUACUCACCAUCUUUCGGCUGAGCGCCUGAUGGACACCUGUUUUCACCUGAUGGAUCG